rnacentral:rRNA from 1 species
UACGUAGGUCCCGAGCGUUAUCCGGAUUUAUUGGGCGUAAAGCGAGCGCAGGCGGUUAGAUAAGUCUGAAGUGAAAGGCUGUGGCUUAACCAUAGUAUGCUUUGGAAACUGUUUAACUUGAGUGCAGAAGGGGAGAGUGGAAUUCCAUGUGUAGCGGUGAAAUGCGUAGAUAUAUGGAGGAACACCGGUGGCGAAAGCGGCUCUCUGGUCUGUAACUGACGCUGAGGCUCUAAUGCGUCGGCAGCAACCAUG